CCUACGGGAGGCAGCAGUGAGGAAUAUUGGUCAAUGGACGCAAGUCUGAACCAGCCAAGUAGCGUGCAGGAUGACGGCCCUCCGGGUUGUAAACUGCUUUUAGUUGGGAAUAAAAGGGGGCUCGUGAGCCCCGUAUUGUAUGUACCAUCAGAAAAAGGACCGGCUAAUUCCGUGCCAGCAGCCGCGGUAAUACGGCAGGUCCGGGCGUUAUCCGGAUUUAUUGGGUUUAAAGGGAGCGUAGGCCGGCUUUUAAGUCAGCUGUGAAAGUCCGCGGCUCAACCGUGGAAUUGCAGUUGAAACUGGAGACCUUGAGUGAACACAGGGAUACCGGAAUUCAAGGUGAAGCGGUGAAAUGCGUAGAUAUCAUGAAGAACACCGAGCGCGAAGGCAAGUGUCCGGGGUGCAACUGACGCUGAGGCUCGAAAGUGCGGGUAGCAAACAGGAUUAGAUACCCUUGUAGUC
rnacentral:rRNA from 1 species